AUUGAACGCUGGCGGCAGGCCUAACACAUGCAAGUCGAACGAGUGGCGGACGGGUGAGUAAUGUAUGGGAAACUGCCCGAUGGAGGGGGCUAACUGCUGGAAACGGUAGCUAAUACCGCAUACCACGGGAUCUGCCCAGAUGGGAUUAGCUAGUCGGUGGGGUAACGGCUCACCUAGGCGACGAUCCCUAGCUGGUCUGAGAGGAUGACCGGCCACACUGGAACUGAGACACGGUCCAGACUCCUACGGGAGGCAGCAGUGGGGAAUAUUGCACAAUGGGCGAAAGCCUGAUGCAGCCAUGCCGCGUGUAUGAAGAAGGCCUUCGGGUUGUAAAGUACUUUCAGCGGGGAGGCGUUACCCGCAGAAGAAGCACCGGCUAACUCCGUGCCAGCAGCCGCGGUAAUAC
rnacentral:rRNA from 1 species